AAGAACAGAAAAUCAACCACCACAUGUUCUCACUCAUAGGGCAACAAGGGCAAGGCCCUGAGGGAGGACAUUGACCAUUGAUGGGGUGAGAUGAGAGAGAAUUAGAUAGCCCUGAAGAAAAAGGUCACCUAUGUCAUCAUGUUGCCUGAGAAAUCUCUCAUAAGAAAGCUACAUUAGUUUGUGUAAUCUUUGCAUCUUUCCAUUUUUUGGACAUAAUUCGUGAUGUAGCUGUGCAAUGUCAUGAAAGAACAGUGGACUGACAGUUGGAACAUUGGUGUUCUAGUCCUGACCCUGCACUAACCAGCAUGUGACAGGCCAUUUUACUUUCUUAAACAUCAUCUUCCCCCCUCACUAAACUUAGAGAAUGAAAUAAAAUUAUUGAAUAGGACUCUUACAAUUCUUAAAAUGACAUAUGAUUCUAAGUUAUUAAAACUUCCUUGACUGCUUAAAGUA